UUGAAAGGGAAACGAUUGAAGUCAGUCGUACUGGCGGGCAAUCAGCCUUUUGGGUAUGAUUAUGUGGGGCUUGAGGAGUUAAUCACCUUUAUCUUUGCAUAUUUGUGCACUUUGGGUGUACUUGCUCGUUUGGUAGGUUAACAUCAAUUUUAGUCAUCAUAAAAUGGCUGGAGGAAUGUAGCCUCGAUCUCGUAUUGAAGUGUUAUAGCCUUUGGUAGACGUGAUGAUUGGGAUUGAGGAUUGCAACGGAUACCCUUCGGGCUACCUGUCUGAUCUCUGGAAGUUGCUCUGGUGCUGAAAGCUUGCUUAUGGUAUCAAAGUUGACGUCUAAUAGGUUAGAAUGGGUUAAAUUCGUUAAGGAUGUUGACGUA
rnacentral:rRNA from 1 species